rnacentral:rRNA from 1 species
CAAGGCUGAGGUGUGAUGACGAGGCACUACGGUGCUGAAGUAACAAAUGCCCUGCUUCCAGGAAAAGCCUCUAAGCAUCAGGUAACAUCAAAUCGUACCCCAAACCGACACAGGUGGUCAGGUAGAGAAUACCAAGGCGCUUGAGAGAACUCGGGUGAAGGAACUAGGCAAAAUGGUGCCGUAACUUCGGGAGAAGGCACGCUGGUGUGUAGGUGAAGCCCCUGCGGGUGGAGCUGAGACCAGUCGAAGAUACCAGCUGGCUGCAACUGUUUAUUAAAAACACAGCACUGUGCAAACACGAAAGUGGACGUAUACGGUGUGACGCCUGCCCGGUGCCGGAAGGUUAAUUGAUGGGGUUAUCCGUAAGGAGAAGCUCUUGAUCGAAGCCCCGGUAAACGGCGGCCGUAACUAUAACGGUCCUAAGGUAGCGAAAUUCCUUGUCGGGUAAGUUCCGACCUGCACGAAUGGCGUAAUGAUGGCCAGGCUGUCUCCACCCGAGACUCAGUGAAAUUGAACUCGCUGUGAAGAUGCAGUGUACCCGCGGCAAGACGGAAAGACCCCGUGAACCUUUACUAUAGCUUGACACUGAACAUUGAGCCUUGAUGUGUAGGAUAGGUGGGAGGCUUUGAAGCGUGGACGCCAGUCUGCGUGGAGCCAACCUUGAAAUACCACCCUUUAAUGUUUGAUGUUCUAACGUUGGCCCCUUACCGGGGUUGCGGACAGUGUCUGGUGGGUAGUUUGACUGGGGCGGUCUCCUCCCAAAGCGUAACGGAGGAGCACGAAGGUUAGCUAAUCCUGGUCGGACAUCAGGAGGUUAGUGCAAUGGCAUAAGCUAGCUUGACUGCGAGCGUGACGGCGCGAGCAGGUGCGAAAGCAGGUCAUAGUGAUCCGGUGGUUCUGAAUGGAAGGGCCAUCGCUCAACGGAUAAAAGGUACUCCGGGGAUAACAGGCUGAUACCGCCCAAGAGUUCAUAUCGACGGCGGUGUUUGGCACCUCGAUGUCGGCUCAUCACAUCCUGGGGCUGAAGUAGGUCCCAAGGGUAUGGCUGUUCGCCAUUUAAAGUGGUACGCGAGCUGGGUUUAGAACGUCGUGAGACAGUUCGGUCCCUAUCUGCCGUGGGCGCUGGAGAAUUGAGGGGGGCUGCUCCUAGUACGAGAGGACCGGAGUGGACGCAUCACUGGUGUUCGGGUUGUCAUGCCAAUGGCACUGCCCGGUAGCUAAAUGCGGAAGAGAUAAGUGCUGAAAGCAUCUAAGCACGAAACUUGCCCCGAGAUGAGUUCUCCCUGAGACUUUAAGUCUCCUGAAGGAACGUUAAAGACGAUGACGUUGAUAGGCCGGGUGUGUAAGCGCAGCGAUGCGUUGAGCUAACCGGUACUAAUGAACCGUGAGGCUUAACC